rnacentral:rRNA from 1 species
UGGGGGAAUAUUGGGCAAUGGGGGCGCAAGCCUGACCCAGCAACGCCGCGUGAAGGAAGAAGGCUUUCGGGUUGUAAACUUCUUUUAUAAGGGACGAUAAUGACGGUACCUUAUGAAUAAGCUCCGGCUAACUACGUGCCAGCAGCCGCGGUAAUACGUAGGGAGCAAGCGUUAUCCGGAUUUACUGGGUGUAAAGGGCGUGUAGGCGGGAAAGCAAGUCAGAUGUGAAAACUAUGGGCUCAACCCAUAGCCUGCAUUUGAAACUGUUUUCUUGAGUGUUGGAGAGGCAGGCGGAAUUCCGUGUGUAGCGGUGAAAUGCGUAGAUAUACGGAGGAACACCAGUGGCGAA